AUUGAACGCUGGCGGCAGGCCUAACACAUGCAAGUCGAGCGGCAGCACGGGAAGCUUGCUUCCUGGUGGCGAGCGGCGGACGGGUGAGUAAUGCAUAGAAAUCUGCCCGGUAGUGGGGGAUAACCUGGGGAAACCCAGGCUAAUACCGCAUACGUCCUACGGGAGAAAGCAGGGGAUCUUCGGACCUUGCGCUAUCGGAUGAGUCUAUGUCGGAUUAGCUUGUUGGUGAGGUAAUGGCUCACCAAGGCGACGAUCCGUAGCUGGUCUGAGAGGAUGAUCAGCCACAUCGGGACUGAGACACGGCCCGAACUCCUACGGGAGGCAGCAGUGGGGAAUAUUGGACAAUGGGCGAAAGCCUGAUCCAGCCAUGCCGCGUGUGUGAAGAAGGCCUUCGGGUUGUAAAGCACUUUCAGUGGGGAAGAAAGCCUUGGGGCUAAUACCCUCGAGGAAGGACAUCACCCACAGAAGAAGCACCGGCUAACUCCGUGCCAGCAGCCGCGGUAAUACGGAGGGUGCGAGCGUUAAUCGGAAUUACUGGGCGUAAAGCGCGCGUAGGCGGUCUGAUAAGCCGGUUGUGAAAGCCCCGGGCUCAACCUGGGAACGGCAUCCGGAACUGUCAGGCUAGAGUGCAGGAGAGGAAGGUAGAAUUCCCGGUGUAGCGGUGAAAUGCGUAGAGAUCGGGAGGAAUACCAGUGGCGAAGGCGGCCUUCUGGACUGACACUGACGCUGAGGUGCGAAAGCGUGAGUAGCAAACA
rnacentral:rRNA from 1 species